GGUGGGAGCGGGCUUGCUCGCGAUGCAGUUGACUCGGUAUGCCUGAAUUACCGAUUCGAUCCCAUCGCGAGCAAGCUCGCUCCCACA
rnacentral:misc_RNA from 1 species